rnacentral:rRNA from 1 species
UACGAAGGGUGCAAGCGUUGUUCGGAAUUACUGGGCGUAAAGCGCGCGUAGGCGGGCUUGUGUGUCGAUUGUGAAAGCCCUGGGCUUAAACCCUGGGAAUGGCAGUCGAAACUGCAAGUCUUGAAUGUCUGAGAGGAUGGCGGAAUUCCCGGUGUAGUAGUGAAAUACGUAGAUAUCGGGAAGAACACCUGAGGCGAAGGCGGCUAUCUGGCGGUACAUUGACGCUGAUGCGCGAAAGCGUGGGGAGCAAACAGG